rnacentral:rRNA from 1 species
AUACGUAGGAUCCGAGCGUUAUCCGGAUUUAUUGGGUUUAAAGGGUGCGCAGGCGGGAGAUUAAGUCGGCGGUGAAAUUUUGCAGCUCAACUGUAAAAGUGCCUUCGAAACUGGUUUCCUUGAGUGUAGAUGAAGUAGGCGGAAUUUGUGGUGUAGCGGUGAAAUGCAUAGAUAUCACGAGGAACUCCGAUUGCGCAGGCAGCUUACUAAACUACUACUGACGCUCAGGCACGAAGGCGUGGGGAUCAAACAGGAUUAGAUACCCUGGUAGUCCACGCAGUAAACGAUGAUUACUAGCUGUUUGCGAUACAAUGUAAGCGGCUGAGCGAAAGCGUUAAGUAAUCCACUUGGGGAGUACGUUCGCAAGAAUGA